rnacentral:rRNA from 1 species
AGUUAGUAUUAUUAGACCCGAAGCGUUAUGAGCUAGGCAUGGGCAGGUUGAAGAGUUGGGAAACUGACUUGGAGGACCGAACGGGUUGGAGCUGCAAAUCCUUCCGAUGACCUGUGUCUAGGAGUGAAAAGCUCAUCGAAUAACGUGAUAGCUGGUUCUCUCCGAAAUGCAUUAGGGUGCAGCCUGUAUUUUAGUGCUACUAGAGGUAGAGCUCUGAUAAGACUAGGGGUGUCGAGAGACAUUACCAAAUCUUGUUAAACUUCGAAUGCUAGUAGGAAUAAUACAGAGUGAGACUGCGGGGGCAAGCUUCGUAGUCGAGAGGAUAACAGUCCAGACUUCUAAUUAAGGUCCCUAAAGUAUAGCUAAGUGGUAAAGGAGGUGUUUUUACUUUGACAUCCAGGAGGUUUGCUUAGAAGCAGCAAUCCUUUAAAGAAAGCGUAACAGCUCACUGGACAAGUGAAGAUGCGCCGAAGAUGUAACGGGGCUAAGCUAUAUACCGAAAUUGAAGACCUACACUUCAUUGUGUAGUGUGGUAGGAGAGUGUUCUUACAGGAUGAAGCAUAACUGUGAGGUUGUGUGGACUAGUAAGAAGUAAAAAUGCUGACAUGAGUAACGACGCAAAGCGAAAAUCUUUGCUGCCGAAAACCUAAGAAUUCCUACGCAACGUUCAUCGUCGUAGGGUUAGUCGAGACCUAAGGUGAUACCUGAAAAGGUACAUCGAUGGAUAACUGGUUAAUAUUCCAGUACUUAUAUAUUCAGUGAUGUGGUUACGCAUUGGGAUUUGUAAGAGCUUGUUAAGGAUAUGAGUCGAAAAAAUCAGCUUUUCUAACUUCGGUUAGGAGGUGGUUGUAGGAAAAUCCGCAAUCAUUGAUAGCGAGUUUGAUCGGGACGUCCCGACUUGUCGGGAUGAAUUCUUAUCGUUCUGGUGCCAAGAAAACCCACUAAACUUAUGGAUAUAUAACUCGUAUUGAGAUCAGACACUUGUAGGUUGGUAGAGUAUACCUAGGCAAUCGAGAUAACUAAUGGAUAAGGAACUUGGCAAAAUAGCGGGCGUACUUUCGAAAUAAGCCCUGCCCAUAGCAAUAUGGGCUGCAACAAAAGACGUGGGGGGAACUGUUUAUCACAAACACAGCUUGCUGCUAACUCGCAAGAGGAUGUAUAGCAAGUGAUGCCUGUCCAAUGCCAGAAUGUUAUGCUCUCUUGUGCAAGCUCGAGGGUUAAGCACUGGUGAAUGACGGCCGUAACUAUGACGGUCCUAAGGUAGCGAAAUUCCUUGUCAGGUAAGUUCUGACGCGCAUGAAUGGCACAAUCAUCCCCAUACUGUCUUGUCCUUAGACUCGGUGAAAUUACAAUCCUGGUAAAAAUGCCAGGUAGUUGCAGUUAGACGGAAAGACCCUGUGAAGCUUUACUAUAGAUUGAUAUUGGAAUGUAGUAUGUGUUGCUCAGUAUAAGUGGGAGCCUUUGAGGCGGUGGCUUUGGCUAUCGCGGAGGCAAAAUUGAGAUACCACUCUUUAUAUAUAGCAUUUCUAACCCCUAUGUUGGGGAACAGUGUCAGUUGGGUAGUUUACCUGGGGCUGGUGCCUCCUAAAAAGUAACGGAGGCGUGCAAAGGUUUGCUUGUCACGGAUGGAAACCGUGGUGGACGUGUAUUCGCAUAAGCAAGCUUGACUGUGAGACUGACAGGUCGAACAGAUACGAAAGUAGGCGAAAGUGAUCCGGAUCUUCCAUAUGGAAGGGGAUCCGCUCAACGGAUAAAAGUUACUCCGGGGAUAACAGGCUAAUGGAAUCUAAGCGUUCAUAGCGACGAUUCCGUUUGGCACCUCGAUGUCGACUCGUCGCAUCCUGGGGCUGUAGAAGGUCCCAAGGGUUGGGUUGUUCACCCAUUAAAGCGGGACGCGAGUUGGGUUCAGAACGUCGUGAGACAGUUCGGUCCCUAUCUACUGCAACCGUAAGAAAUUUGAGAGAUGCUGUCCCUAGUACGAGAGGACCGGGAUGGACAAGCCUCUGGUAGUACCAGUUGUUCCGCCAGGAGCACCGCUGGAUAGCUAUGCUUGGAAAAGGUAACCGCUGAAAGCAUCUAAGUGGGAAACUUGUCUCAAGAUUAGAUUUCUCUCUCUCUUUAUGAGAAUAAGACCUCCGCGAGACUAGCGGUUUGAUAGGCUUCAUGUGUAAGUCCAGCAAUGGAUUGAGCAAAGAAGUACUAAUCGGUCGAACGAGUUUGUUUC